UCUUUAAAAAAAGAAAUUCUUGCUCCAUUCCUGUGUACACAGCCACCAUGUUUGUUCCUUAGACCUUUUUUAUUGAGUGGGAGUUGAAGUCUAUUUCUUUCACUGUUUUUAAAAUGAUUUAUGGUAGCUAACCAAAAUUAUAAUUAGGAAGAUUAAAACAUCAAUAACAAAAAUUUUUAAAUGAACAACAAUAAAAAGAAAAAAAGGGUUUGAAAUUAGAACGAAGUAAGAUAGAACCAGAAGUGGCAUGAGUACAUGAAUGGAUUUAAUAAAGACCUAUAAACUUGUUAGAUGAGAAUCACAAAUCAGUCUAGCACAAAGGUGUUUAGUGGGUUAUUCAGUAAGGGCAACACGAUCAGUUAUAAGAUCUGGGCAGCUGCUUAGAAAGUAACAGCAAACUCACUGAUGAAGAAACUCAUGAUCAUUUCUAAUCCUAUAACCAGAGAAAUUCACAUCCGGGAAAUAGUGCCAUUCCUUCAUAUAGGUAGAUUUAUGCAGGAUUGUCUUUCUGUGACUGGCUUAUUUCACUUAACACAAUGUCCUUAAGGUAUUGUCCAUAUUGCAUAUUGUAAAAUUUCUUUUUUAAGGCUGAAUUGCAUUCCAGAGUAUGUAUAUACCAUAUUUUCUUUAUCUGUUCACCUGUUGGACUUUUAGGUUGUUUCCAUACCUUGGCUCUUGUGAAUAGUGUCAUGGUGAACACAGGAGGGCUAGUAUCUCCUCUGGAACCUGAUUUCAAUUCUCUUGGGUAAUACCCAGAAACGGGAUUGCUGGAUCAAAUGGUAGUUAUAUUUUUAACUUCUUGAGGGUUGUGUGUGUGCGCGUGUGUGAGUGUGUGUGCCAUAGUGGCUGCACCAUUUUGCAUUUCCACCAACCGUGUGCAAGAAUUCCAAUUUCUCUACAACCUUGCCAAUGCUUUGUUGUCUUUUUUUUUUUUUUUUUUUUUUUAAUAGCCAACCUGUCUGGGGCACCUGGGUGGCGCAGUCAGUUAAAUGUCUGCCUUCAGCUCAGGUCAUGAUCCCAGGGUCCUGAGAUCCAGCCCUGUGUUGGGCUUCCUGCCUAGCAGGGAGUCGUCUUCUCCAUCUCACCCCUACCAGCUGUGCUCUUGCUUGCUCUGUCUCUCUCAAGUGAAUAAAGAAAAUGUCUUUAAAAAAGACCCAACCUGAUAGAUAUGAAAUGACAUCUCCCUGUGGUUUUGAUUUUCAUUUCCUUGAUGAUUAGUGACAUUGAGCAUUUUCAUAUACUUAUUGGCCAUUUGUAUAUCUUCUUAAAAGAAAUAGCUAUUCAAGUCCUUAGCCCAUUUUUUAAUCAACUUUAGUUGUUUUUUAAAAACUAUUGAAUCGUAUGAGUUUCUUAUCAGAUACAGUUUGCAAAUAAAUUCUCCCAUUCCACAGGUUACCUUUUCAAAAUUCUAUUGUUUGCUGUGCUGUUCAAAAGGGUUUUAGUUUAUAUUGUACCACUUGUUUAUUUUUGCUUUUGUUGCCUGUGCUUCAGAUGUCCUGUCUGCUCCUUCCCCACUUUAAUGAGAGUAUACACUGAAGGAAUUCUUAACCCAGUUGAUGAGCUAUCAUGGUGCCUCGCACAAGGUAGAUGCUCAAAAACUAUUUCUUAGUUAAUUGUAGGAAACUGUGAGAACUCUGAACUAUUAGCUACCAAAACAGUCUCUAAGUAGGAGCAUUAACAAAAACAGUCAAAAGAAUGAAGGUUACAGAAGCUAUUUGUUUGAUAAGAAAAUGGUUUUUAUUGGCUAAAAAGAUAAAAAUGGAAAAUGUGUACACAUAACAAAAGGUAACAAUAGUAGGUAACUGGGCAACAAAAAGAAACCCAGGGAUGAUGCCAGAAGAGAAAAAAAGAAUUCUCCUGGAGAAAAGACAAGGAAUAUCAAUUACAGCCCAGAAGUAUGUUAUACAGACUUGAGAGCCUGUCUUUGGUAGGAAAGGCACAAAAAUCAAUCCAAGACUGAAAGGGAAAAUUAAGAUCUGUCCACCUUGGAAUUUCCUAAAGUUCUACUAUAUCAUAUUACUGUGUAACUAUUAAUAAAAAUACAGAAUAUGAAACUAGGACUAUCCCUCCAUCAAGCAAGUUACAGUUGAGAAACCAAAGCCUAGUCAGGCAAAGUGGCUCUUGACUGAUAAAUUUGGUACUAGAACCUCUGUUUCCUAUGUCCACCUAAUUCAGGGACUUAAGUCACCAAGAUUCAGUUAAAUUCCCAAGUUUUGUUUGUUGAAGCAGAGAUAACUAUGUUGCACUUUAAUAGUUUCUAUUUUUAAAUUAUGAGUGCCAGUAGAGUCAAAACAUCAACUGUCCUUGUGUUAUAAACAAUGAUUCCCAAUUGUAGGGGAUGAUCUACUUCAGAACUCUUUGAACUAAAAGGCUGCCUAGUUUGGAAAUGAAAGACAAGAGGAAGUGAGAAUCAAAACCUGCAGUAGUUUGACUAUUAGCCCUUUGGUACUCUGUAUGACUCAUUCAGCUAACAGGAGCACUCACUCAGUGACAAGGCUCUUCUGUCCCUUUUUCUGUUUAUUGUGUGGUUAGCACAAUUGUUUUGCAUACCACACCUCUAUGGGAAUGCGGCACGUUCAGAUACUCCUCACUUUGAAUUGGCUUGUCAAACAACCUUUGGAAAAUGAGUUAUUUGAAAUGGUGAUGUAAUGUCUCAUCAAAAUGUUAAAAUUAGGGUGCCAAGGUGGCUCAGUGGGUUAAGCCUCUGCCUUCAGCUCAGGUCAUGAUCCCAGGGUCCUGGAAUCAAGCCCCACAGUGGGCUCUCUGCUCUGCAGGGAGCCUGCUUCCCCCCCUCUCUCUGCCUGCCUCUCUGCCUAUUUGUGAUCUGUCUGUUAAAUAAAUAAAAUCUUUAAAAAAAAAAAAAAAAGUUAAAAUUAUUGUAUUGGCAAGCAACCCCAAGUCUUUUUUAAUCCAUGAUGUAAUUAACCAUAGUCACCUGAAUCCUAAGUGCCCAUAAAGUUGUCCAAAGCUUGAAUCAUGAAAGUGUUGGGUCCCCCCAAAGUUGGGUACCCCAAUAAUGGGUCCGUUUUUAAAGGAGCAAGAUUGAUACAAAGCGAAGGUCAAGCAAAGCUCUAUUUUCCGCCAAGCAUCAGGAAUCAGACCGACUGUCAAACAGACCGAUUGGGGGCCCGCUCCUACACAGAGGACAACCCCUCCCUGCUUUACAGACUAACUUUUAUAGAGCAAGGCCAUGUGGUUGGGCCUGGCCACACACAGGUGGCCAAUGAGAUUGUAACACACACAGGAAACUCCACAGUGAUGCUAGGUGACCAAUUGAAUUACAAUUUACCCUAGUAGACAUUUGAACCAGCCUAUCACCUAGUUCAGUAUUGGCGCCCCAAAGGUGCCCAGAGGGCGGAACCCAUACUCCUCAGUAGCCAGGAGACAGUAUGCGCCACCACUGAUUGAAUACCUCCACCUGGCCUGACCCACCCUUGUAUUUGGACUUUGUUACCUGGAACUGGUUUCCCGGACUUGCUUUUAAGAGAGACCAACUGCUGAGAGGGAAACGGGAGAAGGAAGAGAGAAAAGUUUGAAGAGAACAAAUGAGAUCUGAAGUGGUUACUGGAGAAAACUGGACACACUGCUAAGCAGCACAGGAGAAGGUUCAGGAGACUGAGUAGUUCUGUCGAGCACAGAAUUUUGUCAGAGCAUCAACAGAGCCUAUGAAUAGCCCGUUCUCAGAAGUGGAAAGCUGACCUGGAAGAAUUGAAGAGAAGUUCGAUAUUACAGGUAAUCCAUGUAAACGGCUGAGUGAGUAGCCCAUCCAUCUACCCAGGCUUUCCAGGUCUCAGGGCACAUUUGAGUGAAGCAGACAUCCACAAAAAGCCAGUGGGUGAGAACAGUGUGGAGGAUACACCUAUAAACUGAAUUCUAGAAACCAAAGCCUAAUAGCAGCCUUAUUUAUGAAACUAGAAAUGUAGUGCAAAACCCAUAAUGAACUUAUUGUAGUGGCAGAUCUGUGACCUGACUUGGUUAUUUCCAACCAGCGAAAAGAAAAUUUGAGAUAUUAUUUAACUAUGAAAAACAGAAGAGACAAACAGUUCCCAGACAUCUGCAAAGACAUUUCAGUUGGCAAAGGGGGGUUAUGUGGCAUCAGCAGAACUAUAAAAAUGCAUAUACACUUCGGGGUGUCUGGGUGGCUCAGUGGGUUAAGCCUCUGCCUUCAGCUCAGGUCACGAUCUCAGGGUCCUGGGAUCAAGCCCUGCAUUGGGCUCUCUGCUCGGCGGGGAUCCUGCUCCUCCUCCCGCCCCCACCUGCCUCUCUGCCUACUUGUGAUC